CGACGGCCGGGGCUCGGCGGCGGGCCGGGCUGGGCGCGCGCCGGGAGAGGAGGAUGCGCCCCGCGCUGGAGUAGAGUUAAAGGCAGCGAUUUCCCUGCUGGACAAGGAAGGAGAUGCUGGCUCUGGAGCAGGGAACUUCAGGUGCCUGUUGAAAUGGCAGAUGGGGACAUGUGCUGGAGUCUUCUGGGGAGCUGCAUUGACCAGAUGGGAUUUUGGUGCCUGUUUUGGAUGCGGGAAAAGGGGAUGCCCUCAAUCAAGGGCUGCAUAGCAAAGCAGGAUUUGCCAGUUCCUGUAUGCCGAUGGGAAUCGUGUUCUGGCUCCUUGACAGUGCUAUAGGAGAAGCUGAUGCUCUGAACAGUGAGCCUGAGGAGCAAGAUAGUGUGGAUUGCCUCCUGCCUUGCCUCUUCUCCCAGCUGCCUGCGGUGAGCUCUCGCGUGCCAGAGGACGAGGGUGGAGGAGAGCAGCCACGUGAAGCUGGGACAGUGUGGCUGAGCCAAAGGGCUUUUGACCUGUGGGCUGUGGCAACUGGGGGUCCUCACCACCCUGCAGCAGAGACAAGUGGCUCCUGCCAGGUAGAUGCCUUCAGGGGAGUGGCCAACUCCAGCUGAGCUGAUGAAUCUUGGCACCUGAUACAAGGCUCAGCUUCUGAUAUGAAGAAGGAUAUAGAGUCUUUAAUAGCCCAGGAAAAAGCAGAAAUCGUCGCCAAGUAUGAGAAGGGCAGACAGGAAGGAGCUCAGAUUGACCAGUGGGAAGAUGCUGAUUUCACCCUCUACAAAGUUACAGACCGGUUUGGAUUCCUGCACGAGCAGGAGCUGCCAACCCGCACCGCCUUGGAAGAGAAGCAAAAACAGCAGGAAAUAGAACGUGUGGACAAGUGGCUUAAGAUGCUGAAGAAGUGGGGCAAAUACAGAAACAGUGACAAGAUGUGCCGGCGUGUGUACAAAGGGAUUCCGCUUCAGGUGCGAGGCCAGGUCUGGUCACUUCUGCUGGAUGUCGAGAAGAUGAAGAAGGAGAAUGAAGGAAAAUAUGAGCAAAUGAAAGAACAAGCAAAGAGUUUUUCAUCGGAAAUCAAGCAGAUAGAUUUGGAUGUGAACCGCACCUUCCGAAACCACAUCAUGUUUCGGGAUCGCUACGGGGUGAAGCAACAGGCGCUCUUCCACGUCCUGUCAGCAUACUCAGUUUAUAACACUGAAGUGAGCUACUGCCAAGGGAUGAGCCAGAUUGCAGCCAUCCUCCUGAUGUACUUGAAUGAAGAGGACGCGUUCUGGGCGCUGGCACAGCUGCUCACCAACCAGCGCCACGCCAUGCACGGUUUUUUCAUUCCUGGGUUCCCGAAGCUGCAGAGGUUUCAAGCCCACCAUGAGCAAAUUUUAAACAAACUGUUCCCCAAACUGAAGAAGCACAUGGACAAGGAGCAGAUGACCACCGGAAUUUACACAACCAAGUGGUUCCUGCAGUGUUUCAUUGACCGGACCCCAUUCACGCUGACCUUGCGGCUGUGGGAUAUCUACAUCCUGGAAGGGGAGCGGGUGCUGACAGCCAUGGCUUACACCAUCCUCAAACUGCACAAAAAGCGCUUGCUGAAGAUGGCACUGGAAGAUUUACGUGAAUUUCUGCAGGAGAAAAUUGCUGCUUCCCUGCAGUACGAGGACGAUGCUGUCAUCGAGCAGCUGCAGGUGUCAAUGACUGAACUGCGCAAGAUGAAGUUUGACCUGCCCCCACCAGCAAAGCCUGAGGAGUUUCCAAGGAAACCCCUGGGCCUGGAGCUCUCCCUCAACCCAGUAGCCAUAAAGGAAAACACAGCAGCCAAUGGCCAGAAUGGCCAGGUGGGUGAGCACACCCCAGACAGGGAGCCCCAUCGCCACAAAGUUCCUGGCACACCAGGAGGAGUGACAGUGGUGGAAGCGAGGAUUCUCACCUUCCAGGGUAGUGAAGCAGCCGAAGCAACAAACGUGCCCGUUCCAGGUGGGCAGCCACCAGAUGAGGAGGGUCAGGUGGAGCCCAUCAUGGACGGGCAGCCAUCAUCUCUUCUGAAGGCAAGCGAGACGCAGGCCCAGCAACACCUCCUGCCCACAGUCCUGCCUCCAGAGCAGCCUCUUCUUGCUCCUGGCUGUGCCGUGGUGGACCAUGGAGUCUCCCUCCAUGCCCCAGCUGAGCACAGCUCCUUAGACUCCUCUCUCCAAAACAGGCCGGCUCCUCCUGACUCCAGCACCGCUGAGCUUUCCUCUACGGACCAGGCAGUGUGGCAGCCAAAUCCCGCUGCCCUGCCAGCAGGGGAACAGGCAUCUUCCCUGAGCAGAGACGCAGUGCUUGAAGCAGCCCCCCAUCCUCUGCCAGCCGGCUGCCAGCAGCUCUCCUGCACUUCACAGAGCGAUGGCUCCCCCGAGAGCGAGCGCGGGGAGGAGGCGGCGGAUGACAGGCACUGCAGGGCGGUGCUGCCGGACAAAAUGGGCCUGAAGCACUCGGCAUCCAAAGCCGCAUCCACAGGAGAGCUCCUCAGCCUGCAGCACAAUGGGCUGGGCAGUGCCACCAGCAGCACGCACUGGCCCGAGGCCGUGGGCGUGCUGCCCGCGCACAGGCAGGCAGGGGGCAGUGUGCCCAUCUUGUCCAGCAGAGAGCCGGAGGCAGCAGGGAUGGCCGAGGGCUGCCCCACCCAGCGGGCACCGUCCCCUCUGGUGGAAGGGAACAGCCCCUAUGUCGUUAUCAAAACCACCACUCCACUCCACCUGGCCCACGCGACAGAGCAGGACUUCUUGAACAGAAAGCAGGUGGCAUUGCCUCUGUCAGAGACUGGACAUCCUCUGCCUACCACCUCCAUGCCACCACCUCUCAUGGCGGACCCAGAGGAGGCAGAGGUCCAGAAAAGCCUCCAGAAACCAUUAAAUGCACUGAAAGCCCCACGACCCCCGCUGAGCCCCAAACCAAAAUUACCGCCGCAGGUUGCCAAAUCCCGCUCAGAGAACAGUUUCCUUUCAGGCUCUCCUUCCAUGGCAAAGCUGCCCAAAUCGGUGACGUUCUAGUGGGGAUGGGGAAGGGGAAGUUAAGGGAGAAGAAGUGGGUUCUGGAGAAGCACCCUUGCCCCAUUUGCAGGAUCCCCUUCUGUCAGCAGGGCUGUUAGGGUGACAGCACAGCACCAUUGCACAUCAAGCUGUGCUUUGGUACGAGCGCCCAGCGAAGAGACGAAGCGGUGCCCACCAGCGCUAGGAGACACCAGCAGAUUGGAUUUGCAUGUUUCCUGUGGACAAAUUGGAAAAUGCUUUCAUUUUUUGUUCCUCAAAGCUCCCCAAGUCUCAUCACUUGGGGGAAGAGGCAGGGCUGGUGGGUUUGUUGCGUGUUUUCUCCUGCUCCUGUCUGCUGUGGGAACCCACGACCAAGCAAGCAGGCACAAGGUGUCAGAAUCCGAAACGCUUUCUUUACAACGCCCCAUCGGCACAGCUACAGCAUUGCUUUCAAAGGCCUUUGUAGCAAUAGAUCUUUAUUUCGUUUCCCAGACCUGCAGUUGUAGGCAGCAGAAUUUCCAGGCACUGCCAUGGCAUCCUGGCAGGACACAGGCAGCCCGCUGCCCCCUCUAUGCAAUUCCACAAAGCAGUGCCCGGCUGUGUCUGGCUUCUGCUGCUGUGGUGGAUGGUGUUUAGGAGGACAGAUUUAACAGCUGCUGAGUCCCUUGGACAUCUCCUUGGUCACCCCAGUGUGGAGCUGCCAGCAGAGUGGUUCUUUCCCAGGUUCUCAGGGUGACAAGGACAGUGACAAAGGUGGAGCCUGGUCUCUUGGGCUGAGUGCCCUUUCUGCUGGCCUUUCCUUCCCAGGGCCAGUGCAGCGAGCAGGCUCGCUGCCUUUCUGUUCCCCAAACAGGAAAAGGGGCUGCUGGCUCGGGAAACCUGCCUGCACUACCAAGCUGCUGGACAUGUGAUGGCAUCCAAUCACAGUGCCCCAGAUAAGUCCACUUUUGCUUUGAGUUAAAAUCUGGCUUGAAACACCACAGAAAAACAAAAAGAAAGCCCCAGCACCACUGAACACUACAGUUUACUGUCACAGAAGCAGCCUGAGGAUGCAGCUCUUCACACAUCUGUGCCAUUUCACACUGGAUGCCAGCACAGGGAUGCAGCACUGUGACCAAGGGUGAGAUCCCCAGGCUGGAGAGAAGCAAACCUCAUCCCUCCUGUGUUCCAGGUGCUCAUAAGCAGCCUCAUUGCACAUGCUGCUUUGUGUCACCUCCCAGCCACCAGCUCCUGUGAACCUGUUGGCUCUCAGGCAGUGCCAGCUGGGACCAGGUUUGAACAUCUGCCAUGGUUACUUACGUGAUAGGGAGUGCAGGGUUCAGAAAUGGCAUUUAUCCAACUGCUUAAACAGCAUCCCUGUCAAGGAGAGAGCAGAAGUGUCCAGAAGGGCAGCUUCCUCAAGAGAAGCACAUUCCCAAGUAUAAAGCAGUAUAUGGAGAAAAUAACAGCCUGGCAGUUUAAAGAGGCAGGUCUGACAGCUUCCCAAACCAUCUCCCAAAUCCUACUGCCUCAGCAGCUAAGGAGGCCCACAGGGCAUACACCAGCAUCCUCUUCACCUAGAAGGAUGUGGACACCAGGAUACCACCAAACAUCUCACCAGGAGAUGCAGCAGGUGGACCCAUCCCAUGGGCAUCCUUACUCCCUGGCAGCAUUUACAAGAGUCCAAGAUGGGGAUGGAGAAGACUUAGAAGGCACACAUGAAGACACAAGUCCAAGAAACUGGAGUCACUAAAUCCUGGCUAUUCUUCCACACAGUAAAACAGGCUCCUCCUAAGACACAGAGAAAAGUAAACUAAGAAAUUUCCAAUUUUGUCCAAAACUGGUAUGAGCUCCCUUAGAGGUACCUGUGGCUACAUGGGAUGAAGUAUCACAUGCCCCACUUCCAACCAUCCCAUUAAGAACCUGGGCCACUCUGGUGCCCUGGAGGCUGCUCAGCCUGGCCUCACAUCAGAGCCCUGCUCCUGGGACAUCUAAGCCUACAGGCUUAGAUAACCUCAGGCUUGGGGAAGCUGUUUCUUGAGUGGCUUUGCUUACCUUUAUGGUGAAGGCAAGAAGUGAUACAGAAGUACUGCUUAGGCUGGAAAGAUGUGCAACAGUGGCAGUAGUCCAGAUGGGAAACCUGGUCUGCUCCUCUACCAAACCACAACUGCAGGCGAGGAGGAUGAGGCCAGCAUUUAGCCAAAGCUGCUCUGUAAUACUCAGCCUUUCAUUCAGCUUCCCCCACCACCACCCUCACAUCUCAGGUCUCUCCCCAGCACUGAGUCAUUGCUGCCAGCUCCUGCACAACCCAGGUCUUUGCCAAAGCCCUCAGCAAGCACUGUGCACUCACCUGCUUUGGAGUCGCCCUCUCUGCUGGCUUAGGAGAAUGCUCCUGUGGAAGCCCUCACAGACCAAAAGGCAUGAGAUCUGUUCCAGCACUUGAUCAGCAUCUUUAAGGACUUGUAAGCAAUUCUGGCAGUUGACUCAGCUGUGAUGUCUCUGGAGCCCCAACCCCUCUGUAACAGGGUGUGGGGCACUUGAAUGAUGUGAGAGAAGAACACGUGUUAUACGCCUGUCCUGAGACAUCUGGACCUGACCAGACUAGAACAGACCUCAUCAGCUCUUCUGUAAUUUAAGUACGGGUUCAAAGGUGGCACUCCUCCAUCAUCGGAUAUGCAGUCUCAACAUAAUCAGUAGGAGGCUGACUGAAGCCAUCUCAGAGCUGGUUUUCACACUGGCUGGAGAUCCACAGCACAGCACAAAUUUAGUUCAGUUUUGGCAUGGCCAGCUGAAGUCAUCACAACAGCCAGAGAUGAGCUGAUGUACUCAAAUAUAGCAAAAAGCUCACCUCUGUGGACUCUUCCAGCUUCAGCUAUGCAACAGGAAUAAUCAAAAUACAUUCUGCUCGCCCAAGCUGUGCUUCUGAAGCAGAACUGAGGUACACAACAGAAUCCUUGUCAUAAGGGAAAUAACUGCAGUGUCUGAAAAUUUCAUCUUAACCCCCCAAUUUCUUCUCCAAACCUACAUUAACUCCAGGGAAACUGUAAUCCUGGUAUUACUUUCAGACUCGAGAAGUUCAGCUAGCACAUCAGAACACAUGGUGAGCUCAUGUACCGAUGUCCUGCCUGUCAGGGGCCAGCAAGAUGAUGUCCUAUCCCCAGAUCAUCAGCACCAAGGUAGCAAGUGAAAAAGCUAAGUCAAGAGUAACAGCUCCACCUGAGAGAAGUGAUACAAUCUGGUUUUUGCCAACAGCAAAGAUCAGACCAGAUCACAGCUGAGGCAUCUUGAUCUGUGGUGAUUUUCCUCCUGGAACAAAGAUGCAGUACGACAAUACAAAGUUAAUAUGUGGUUUUUGGAGACGAUCUGUGGUGUCAAGCUUUUCACACCUCCUUUUGCUCCUAACCUACCUCCAACCUUUGGCAUGGACUUGAACAAUGACCUGAGUCUGGAUUUCUUGUGACCCAGUUACAGUAAAAAACUAACCAGCUCUUGUGAUAGUCUGUCACUGACCAGGACUGUCUGACAAGCUUGAAAAUCUUCCCGAGUGCAGAAACCUCUCUGAAAGAUGCUAUUACUUCAACUUCCUGCUCCUCACCAAACUCUUCUAAGUAGUUGAUAUUCUGGCCAGUGCUGUUCUAGCAUAGCCUCACCAAGAUGUGCCAGUUUCUUGGAACUGCAGCUAUUACCUGCCCUGUGAAGACACCUUGGCCCUGGCACUCCCUGGAGCUCUUCAGCUUCCUUGACUGCAGCUCCCAGUAUUUGGCAUUUGUCUCCCAGCCAGAAAUGAUGGGAGACUCUCAGUGGUUAGAGCCACCAGGUCCCUGAGAGAGCCCCAGAGUGUUACUUCUCCUCUGAAGACCUCCAGAUAGAUCUAUCCCAUCCUUCACCAAGGGCCUGAGGAAGGAAGGGGUAAGUUCUACUGCAGAUGAAGAGCACCAGGUUCCUAGUGCAGUAACACUACCAAGCAAGGGCCCCCAUGUCAUCUUCUAGAAGGACAAAGUACUGCUGUCCUGUGGCCAGUUGUGCACAAGAUGCCAACUUUAGGAACAACCCCCAUCCGUCCAGUCUUCACACUUGAAACAACUCAGAGUGGGAGUUCAGCACUAGGUUCAGCAUCUUCAGCAGUCCUUCGGCACAGGGACAGACACUGCUGUAAACAGCACACCCAGCUAAAGGCAGGGCACUCUCCCCUCAGGUAACUUCUCCCACUCCAGGAGCUGGUAUCAGCCCUUCUGCAGGAACAGGGUGCCAGGCAGCUGCAGCCAGGGUGGGGGCUGUGCCCUACAGCAGUUCAGAGCAGGUAUUUACAGAAAGCAAGCCAUUAGCACAAGUCCUCUCUUGCCCAGGCCAAAAGCAAAGACAGUACCCCCGAGGAGCAUGGGAGUUGAAUUCUGUUGCUUUAAUUCUGCUGCUGCCUGGCAUGAUGGAGGAUGGGGAGUGGGAUGGGAGGUUGCUUGCAAGGAUGCUGGGAAACCCUGGGUGGGCUGUGGCUUUGUGCUGGGGGUGACCAGGGUUUCUUUACUGGUUUUGCCACGUGAGGCAUGUGACUCACACCACCCUUGCUGCUCCCAACCCAGACCAACCUUGGCUGCCAAACCCAGCACCUCUUCAGGCCUGGGCUAGCCCAUGCAGAACAGCUCCCUGCCACACUCACCUGGAUCACCUUCCCCCUUUGAUGCUUCUAAUUCUGGAUGCCAGGUAAAUUAGCCUGUGCAAUAGCUUGGAAGAGGGAAAGACAACGAGUACUGAGCUACCCACUGCACUGAAUGCAAUGCCUUGUCUUGGGGCUGCAAGUAAAAGACACGUAGGUCAGACCUCAGGCAAAAACUCCAAAGGAGCAGAGCUGAGCAGACAGGGUUCCCAACAGAUUAGCCCUAAUCCAAAACACUCUUACCCACUUGAAACCCAGGGACUGAAAGCCUGAAUCCUUUAGUCUUAGUUGCUGAGCAGCCUUAGGCUUCUGCAGUACAGGAGAGCCCUUCUCAACAUGCUCACCAGUCAGGAAGCCGUGCACAGGGUAGACAAGGAUUUGCUUACCUGUACAUACUGGAGCAGCCCAAGGUGUAUGUGCUACACAGGUGUUAGCAUAGCUAGGGCUGGAGGGGACCAAAAAGUCCCAAUUAUACCUCUACAGCACAACACAUGAGAGAAGUCUUGUGCCAGAAAGAGCUGACAGGAAAGGAAUCAGGGAAGGAACAAACUGGUACCAACUGAGGUGAAACCAGCUCUCCAGUCUCCUCGCUGAUGCUUCUUCCCUUCCAGGCAUUGUAUCUGAGGCCAUAAAUCCCACUAGGACUAGGCAAAAGCAAAGUACUCAAGAGAUGCCAAGAACAGGCUUGGACUGGUUGCACUCUUCCACCCUCCCAAAACUUGGGGCCAGCAGAGUUCCAGGUGGGCUGGGGAGGACAUAACAAAGACUUGCUGGAGACAGAGACAAGCUGUCUUGCCGUAAGAGCUUGUCUCUCCCACCCCAAUCACUUCCAUGAUCUACAGCAUGACCUUGGUCUGUGAAGAGAAAAAUCUCAGCACUCUUUCCUCCCCGCCAUCCCACCAGUGAUCCUUCCAGAGCACCAGCAGCAGCAGCCUCUGGAAGGAGGACACAGCCAUCAAGGUGAUUUGUUGAGACAAUCAAAUAAUAAUUUACUGUGAUUCAAUCUGUGGCUUUGUACAGUUGCCGGGGUGGGAGGAGGCCAAAGGAUGAGGGGAUGGGGAUAAAAAAAAAAAAUUGUUUGCCGCAGGCUUGGGUGAAGUGCGAGAUAGUCCAUGGAGGGCCACAUGCUCCCCCUGUCCUCUUCC